CCGUAGCUCAGUGGUAGAGCGCAUCCUUGGUAAGGAUGAGGUCACGGGUUCAAAUCCCGUCGGCG
rnacentral:tRNA from 1 species